rnacentral:rRNA from 1 species
GACGAACGCUGGCGGCGUGCCUAAUACAUGCAAGUCGAACGAGAGCGACCGGUGCUUGCACUGGUCAAUCUAGUGGCGAACGGGUGAGUAACACGUGGGUAACCUGCCCAUCAGAGGGGGAUAACAUCCGGAAACGGAUGCUAAAACCGCAUAGGUCUUCGAACCGCAUGGUUUGAAGAGGAAAAGAGGCGCAAGCUUCUGCUGAUGGAUGGACCCGCGGUGCAUUAGCUAGUUGGUGAGGUAACGGCUCACCAAGGCCGUGAUGCAUAGCCGACCUGAGAGGGUGAUCGGCCACAUUGGGACUGAGACACGGCCCAAACUCCUACGGGAGGCAGCAGUAGGGAAUCUUCCGCAAUGGACGCAAGUCUGACGGAGCAACGCCACGUGAGUGAAGAAGGUUUUCGGAUCGUAAAACUCUGUUGUUAGAGAAGAACAAGUGCUAGAGUAACUGUUAGCGCCUUGACGGUAUCUAACCAGAAAGCCACGGCUAACUACGUG